rnacentral:rRNA from 1 species
AGUGAACGCUGGCGGUAGGCCUAACACAUGCAAGUCGAACGGCAGCACAGUAAGAGCUUGCUCUUACGGGUGGCGAGUGGCGGACGGGUGAGGAAUACAUCGGAAUCUACUUUUUCGUGGGGGAUAACGUAGGGAAACUUACGCUAAUACCGCAUACGACCUACGGGUGAAAGCAGGGGAUCUUCGGACCUUGCGCGAUUGAAUGAGCCGAUGUCGGAUUAGCUAGUUGGCGGGGUAAAGGCCCACCAAGGCGACGAUCCGUAGCUGGUCUGAGAGGAUGAUCAGCCACACUGGAACUGAGACACGGUCCAGACUCCUACGGGAGGCAGCAGUGGGGAAUAGUGGACAAUGGGCGCAAGCCUGAUCCAGCCAUACCGCGUGGGUGAAGAAGGCCUUCGGGUUGUAAAGCCCUUUUGUUGGGAAUGAAAAGCAGCAGGUUAAUACCACGCUGUUCUGACGGUACCCAAAGAAUAAGCACCGGCUAACUUCGUG